CUGUUGCGGGGACGGACGCUUUGGCCGGAGCCUCACGCAACAGUUAGCCCACAUUAAGCUAGCAGAGAAAGAGGACUGCGUUCCUCCCGAGGUAUUGUCCGCUUUGGGCGCUCCGGCCCGUGCGUCCAGCGCAGACGGGGGGAGACUGGUGCCCUCACGGUUUUGUCCCACAAAAGGGCCCUCGAGAGGAAAGGAUUUCCACCCCCCAUUUAAGGCACAGAACCUUUCCGUUACUAGCCGAUGUGGGACUAAAUUCGGGUGC
rnacentral:lncRNA from 1 species